rnacentral:rRNA from 1 species
AAGAGUAGUUAGCCUAACCGCAAGGGGGGCGAUUACCACGGCAGGGUUCAUGACUGGGGUGAAGUCGUAACAAGGUAGCCGUAUCGGAAGGUGCGGCUGGAUCACCUCCUUUA